GACCUUCCCCUGCAUUCUGUGCAAGGCCCCAAACUUUCCUCAAACUGCUGCCAGACCCAGUGCCCGCAGCAGUGAGGCGUUCUAACAAAGAUGGGGUGCGAUGUGCGUCUCCGCCUCGACUCAGUCCCGCUUUAGAGAAACAGGAAGUUACAGCACUUCCUGGUGAAGAGUGUUGACGGGUGAAUGUGCGGAUGACAAAGAGACUUUUCUCUCUUUUCUUCUGAGCCGCCUCUCAGAAGCCUCUGUGUGUGCACGAUGUGGCUGAUCUGGGAUAAUCGUGCUGUGCGCAGUGCUUAAGGAGAACAUUGCCCUAAAAUGGAGGGCUAAGGAAUAGCCUAAAAAACCUAAAAGGCUCGGGAAGAGCAAAAGAGAACACCGAUGGGCUCUGGGAAGCCCCAGUGAUGCUAGCGAAAACAGCGUGGCUUUUAGGCACCUCCUCAGAGCAGCAGCAAUGUCUCGCUCCAGCCUAUGGGACAAUGGGGACUCUUAAUUACCGCCUUGAAUUACCACAAGUGUUGCAAAAGCAGAAGGGACUAGGGAGCAUGCAGAGCAGGUUAUGGACUAUAUGUCAAGUUUAAACAAGCAACAAGCCCCUCUGCAAACAGAAACAGGUUUAGCCCUAAGUAAUAGAGGAAGGUAGCUGUGAGUAACGUGAAGCGAAGCGGUGACGUCAGUCACCCCGAAAGCCUCGGAGAAGCGGUCUGAAAAUCUGGUACCCUCGCGACCUCGGCAGUCUUUUUGGUUUGUUUGGCAGGGUAGCCCACCGAAGGGGGACAUCUCGAAGAGAAGCAGCAAGACCUGGGGAUCCGGUGGUUCAUUUUGGUCGUCGCCUGUGAGGCCAGCAUGCAAGAGUAAGAGGAAGCUAGGAGCAGUCUCAAAAAGAGAUGGAACCGAGGACAGCAAAUGCUGACGAGGAGAAGAGACGGACGAGCGUUUGCUUGCGGUUAAUACCGAAGGGACGGGAUGAAACAAGGAAGCCAGAAUGCAGCGGCCCCUCGAUAUCACCAGGAACUGCUACAGGAGGAGGCGUUCUGGCACGGGUAACUAGGAUUAAUUGCCACGGCUGAAGUUGAAGAGACCAAGAAACGUAAGCCCCGAAGGGGCACAUCUUGAAGAGAGGGGGCUAGACCUAGCGAUCCAGUUGUUCGUUUUGGUCGUCGCCUGUGAGGCCAGCAUGCAAGAGUAAGAGGAAGCUAGGAGCAGUCUCAAAAAGAGAUGGAACCAAGGACAGCAAAUGCUGACGAGGAGAAGAGACGGACGAGCGUUUGCUUGCGGUUAAUACCGAAGGGACGGGAUGAAACAAGGAAGCCAGAAUGCAGCGGCCCCUCGAUAUCACCAGGAACUGCUACAGGAGGAGGCGUUCUGGCACGGGUAACUAGGGUAAGUAUCGCUAAUGACCGUUAGCAGUUAUUUCGGCCUCCCCGAGGCAGCGCUGAGGACUAAGUAACCUGAGGGGCUCUGGCCUGGGUUAGGGCAGAAGUGCAGGCAGGCGGGAUCAGGCAUUUUCCUCUCAGCUCUCCAAGCUGAAUCCUAGCCCUGAAGGAAAAAGCACUGGGGGGAGGCUACUCGGACACCUGCCACGUCGAGGGCAGGGGCAGGAGCUGACCCUUCCCCGACGGACGGACGGACGGACAGACGCUGGUGCGGCGGUGACUCUUUGGAUAUCGUAGGUAAGGGGAGGCACGCUGGUGCCGAGCUCCAGGGCGGUUUGCCUGAACACGAUGCCCGGGGCAGGAGGUUACGCAUUGUGUCCGGGGCUGGGAGCUGGUCCCCGAGUCCCAUGUACUUGGGAGUGCCUGCGCUUGCCAGGGAGCCCGGUGCUGUUCCCAGAGCUGCGGGGAAUUUCCCUUGCGUUGCCUGGACCCUCGGGGCUCUUGGGGGUGUUUCCCCUCAUCGCAAGGGCAGCCAGAGCCCCUCCAGGGCUGCGUGAGGUCCCCGAACCGCUCCCGGAUUUGCUUUUGGCACUCCGCAGUGUCGCUCGUGUGCCUGGGGCAGCCUGCAGGCGCCAUCCUGUCAGCCGCGUUGAGCCCUGCGGCGUGCCUGGUGACCCCUCUGGUGUGCGCCAAGGCCCUUCCUCUGUAUUUUGGUCUGCCCCAGAGCCCUGCACUUGCCCUCUGAUGCCCUCAGGACCCCUCAGUUCACAUUCUGGGUUGCCCCCGAGCCCUCUGCGUGCCUUUCGGUGCGCCCCGUGGCCCCGUGUGUGUUUUGCGGCACGCCGCAGAGGUCUCUGUUUAGCUUUUUCUCCUGUCCUGGAGUUUUCUGGGUGCUUCUGGGUGUGCCCCAGGGCCCUCCUUUUGGUGCCCCCCGAGUCACUCUGUUUGCUCUAUCGUUGUUCUUUUUUUUUUUUUUUUUUUUUUUUUUUUUUCUUGACUUGUGUUGCACCCAGAGCUCUCGAUUUGUUCUCUUGUGCUCCGCAUACUCCCCUUUCCGCACUCUACACCCCAGGCAGGGCUCUCCCUUCAGCUCUCAGCAAGCUGCUGUCAGGAGAGUGGGGGUGCCUCUGCUGCCCUGGCAGCCCCAGCUGUCCCUGAAGGGGCUGAUGGCCAGGCCCCCUGCCCAGUUCCUGCAGGCCCACAGCUGCGGGCCCUGGGGCUGGGAUGAAUGCCAGGGGGAGCUGGGUGGCAGGACAGGCCCCAGGUGGGGCUGAUGGCAAGGGCAGGCCCACAUUUGGGGGCUGGGGCCGCAGUUGGGGG